GGAUAAGCUAGUAUUAGUAGAAGAUUAGGUUUAUUGAAAUUGAUAAUUAAUUUAUUUAGGCUUAGAAAUAGCUAUAGUAUAUGAACCUGUUAUUAGGUAGAUAUUUUUAAAAUAUAAUUUUAAUCAAAACAUUCUUUAAUUAAAGGAUAACUAAGAGGAACAUUUUAUCUUAGAUUAAAAUGGUUAGCAUGAUUAUAAGAAGGAACUUAAAAAUAAGUAACUUUUUUAAAAUACAGAAAGUAACUCGGCAAAUAGGAGCAACGACUGUAUAACAAAGACAUAGCUUUUUGAAUUUAUGAAAAGUGCUGUCUGCCCGGUGACCCAUCAGUUAAACGGCCGCUUAUGUGCUAAGGUAGCAUAAUAAUUUGCCUUUUUAUUGGAGGCUAGUAUGAAAGGCCUAACGAAGCUCGUCUGUCUCUUUGUAUAAAUUAAAAAUUGAUUUGCAUAUGAAAAAUUAUGUAUUCUGAUGUAGGACGAGAAGACCCUAUAGAGUUUUAGUAUAAUUUAUAUAAUAAGAUUAUUAACAAAAAGCUAGAUUAAGGUGUUAUAUGAAUAUACUUUUAUUGGGGCAAUAUAAGAUUAUAGUAAAACUCUUGAAUGUGUAAUUUACGAUAGUAAAAUUGAGAUCCUCAAAGAGAAUUAAGAAAAACUACCUUAGGGAUAACAGCGUAAUC
rnacentral:rRNA from 1 species